GAAGGACAAGCAGUUGGAAAUGUAAGAAGUGAAGACAACAAACGGUCAGAAGAAGUUAAAAAUGAAAAUGAAAUCAAUGAGGCCAGUGAACUAUUGGGUAAUGAAAGUUCAACAGAAUGCAAGGAAUCCAUAAAAGAGUGAUGCCAA